GUACAAAUAUAUCAGAUCAAAACCAGUAUCAUCAAGCAGACGGCCACAAAGAACAUUAAAUCAGGUAAAUUAACAUGGCUCAGACAUCCAAGGAAGGAACUAGCAGCAUUAGAUCUCAAGCCUGGCGGGGCGAAAACUUUUAGGCGGCAACUGCGAAUGUUUUGA
rnacentral:rRNA from 1 species